UCAAUUGAUAUUCUUGUUUCUUAUUCCACGAGAGCAUGGCACGAUUCACAACAAUGGUGGUGUUUAAUGGCGUACUUCUUGUAGCCCUUUUCUUAUCAUGUAUCUCUUGCCUUUUGUAUCCCUUUAAGAUCGAUGUAAUCUUGACAUUGUUUUUCUCUUUGAUUUUGUAUCAUCUCUAACAUGUAAUUGUUUAUACAAUGUUUCAGUUGAAAUGGUGACACCAAUAAUGGGCGAUGCAUGUAGUGAUUUGAUACCAAUUAAGCCGAAAUGGUGUGCUGGGGAACAAGUAUCAGAUGACUGUUGGGAUGCAUGCAGGUUAAAGCAUGGUGAGACAAUUGCAGCAAAGUGUUUUUAUGAACCAUUAAUUCCAGGAAAUGAUAGGGCUUGUGAAUGUUAUUGGCCAUGUUAAUUAAUGAUGUUUUUUUUUAUCCUAAUGGGACAUAAUAUUUGACAUGUGAAGUUACUGAAAUAUCCUUAGAAUUCAAUAAAAAUAUGUAUCUUGGAAAGGGAAUAAUAUAUUCUUAUUAAACUAGCAAAACACUAAUUAAAAAGAGAUUACGAAUAAAUAAUACCUAAUUUGAGUUUUGCAAACAACAAACUCUACUAAAAAUGACAUAUUUCAUUGGUUUACUC
rnacentral:lncRNA from 1 species